AUAAAUCACAAUGCGGAACAAUGUUUUGCAAUUGGAUUGAGAACAACGUACAAACCUUAUCGAUAAACAAUUGGAGGGCAAGUCUGGUGCCAGCAGCCGCGGUAAUUCCAGCUCCAAUAGCGUAUAUUAACGUUGUUGCAGUUAAAAAGCUCGUAGUUGAAAUGAAGGGUAGUUGUGUAAUGAAUACAUUCGUGUAUUUUGUUAUUCUACUACCCUCCUUCUAAAUUCGAUAUAUGAGUAUUAAUUUACUUGUAUAUGGUUUUAGACGUUUACUGUGAGAAAAUUAGAGUGUUCAAAGCAGGCAUUUGCUUGAAUAUAUUAGCAUGGAAUAAUCAUGUAUGAUUUUCAUGAUGUAUUUGAUUGGUUUGGUUCAUGAGAAUAAGAUUAAAAGGGACAGUUGGGGGUAUUCAUAUUCAAUAGUCAGAGGUGAAAUUCUCGGAUUUAUGGAAGAUGAA
rnacentral:rRNA from 1 species